AGUCCCGCAACGAGCGCAACCCUUGAUCUUAGUUGCCAGCAUUUAGUUGGGCACUCUAAGGUGACUGCCGGUGACAAACCGGAGGAAGGUGGGGAUGACGUCAAAUCAUCAUGCCCCUUAUGACCUGGGCUACACACGUGCUACAAUGGAUGGUACAAAGGGCUGCAAGACCGCGAGGUCAAGCCAAUCCCAUAAAACCAUUCUCAGUUCGGAUUGUAGGCUGCAACUCGCCUACAUGAAGCUGGAAUCGCUAGUAAUCGCGGAUCAGCAUGCCGCGGUGAAUACGUUCCC
rnacentral:rRNA from 1 species